UGCGGCUGGAUCACCUCCUUUCUGGAAAACAGCAUUCAAUAUUGAACGCCCACACUUAUCGGUUGUUGGAAGAGUCGGUGCUAACCGACAUGGGUCUGUAGCUCAGCUGGUUAGAGCACCGUCUUGAUAAGGCGGGGGUCGUUGGUUCGAGCCCAACUAGACCCACCAAAUCUUCCGAACAUAAGAUGCGAGGAUCAGUGGGGGAUUAGCUCAGCUGGGAGAGCACCUGCUUUGCAAGCAGGGGGUCGUCGGUUCGAUCCCGUCAUCCUCCACCAAACGAUAUGCCCUGCGGUAGGGCGAAGAAACUAACACCAAAGCGGCUUCGCGAGAGGCCUCUUUGUUGUUGGUCCGGUAUAGACCGGGUCAAUCGGCUGUUCUUUAAAAAUUCAUAGAGUCGAAUCAGCGUUGCCGACGGAAAGCAGGAAACUGCACCGUGCCGUCGGCAACAAUAAUUUGAUUGCGUCAAAACGAAUGUUCAAUUGAGCGAAAGCUGAUUGAAAUUCAGUAAUGACGAAUUGUUCUCGAGGUAGCAAUACCGAAGAAGAAUUCACAUUACGGCAUAACGCGCGAGGUGAAAGACCUCGCAAGUCCUUGAAAGAAAGCGGAGAUGUCUC
rnacentral:tRNA from 1 species